UACGUAGGGUGCGAGCGUUAAUCGGAAUUACUGGGCGUAAAGCGUGCGCAGGCGGUUCGUUAAGUCAGCUGUGAAAGCCCCGGGCUCAACCUGGGAACUGCGGUUGAAACUGGCGAACUAGAAUCUGGCAGAGGGGGGUGGAAUUCCACGUGUAGCAGUGAAAUGCGUAGAGAUGUGGAGGAACACCGAUGGCGAAGGCAGCCUCCUGGGCCAGCACUGACGCUCAUGCACGAAAGCGUGGGGAGCAAACAGG
rnacentral:rRNA from 1 species